GGUCUGAUCGUAUAACGGUUAGUACACAAGAUUCUGAGCACAGCGCCGUGAUCACUUCCAAACGCGUUCCUCCAUUGGAGCAACUCGCGGAUCACACAAUUCGUUCUUGUAAUCUGGGUUCGAUUCCCAGUCGGACCU